AUUGAACGCUGGCGGCAGGCCUAACACAUGCAAGUCGAGCGGGGUUUUCGGACCUAGCGGCGGACGGGUGAGUAAUGCGUAGGAAGCUGCCCGAUAGAGGGGGAUACCAGUUGGAAACGACUGUUAAAUACCGCAUAAUGUCUACGGACCAAAGUGUGGGACCUUCGGGCCACAUGCUAUCGGAUGCGCCUACGUGGGAU
rnacentral:rRNA from 1 species